AAGGGGUCUCUUCUCCUUUUGUGU
rnacentral:siRNA from 1 species